rnacentral:tRNA from 1 species
AAAGGGAGACCUAAUUCAGGUAUGGGACGAAAAAAAAGUAGUCGCUACCAAGAAUCAAUCCCAAAAGGUCGGAGCGAGGUAUGAGGCUUUCAAACUAGGUUCUGGGUUCAAACAAGACCUGAAUCAGGAACAAGGGCUAUUAGCUCAGGUGGUUAGAGCGCACCCCUGAUAAGGGUGAGGUCCCUGGUUCGAGUCCAGGAUGGCCCACCUGCACAGGUGGCAAAAACAAGAGAAGCGAGGAAUCAGCACCUUAUCUUAUCUAUAUAUAAGAGAGAAUGCUGGCUCUGAGUAAAGAGUCCAGAGGAACCUUGAAAACUGCAUAGAGCUAGGUGAAAAAGCCAAAAAAGAAGACCGCAAG